rnacentral:rRNA from 1 species
GACGAACGCUGGCGGCGUGCUUAACACAUGCAAGUCGAACGGAAAGGCCCUGCUUUUGUGGGGUGCUCGAGUGGCGAACGGGUGAGUAACACGUGAGUAACCUGCCCUUGACUUUGGGAUAACUUCAGGAAACUGGGGCUAAUACCGGCUAGGAGCUCCUGCUGCAUGGUGGGGGUUGGAAAGUUUCGGCGGUUGGGGAUGGACUCGCGGCUUAUCAGCUUGUUGGUGGGGUAGUGGCUUACCAAGGCUUUGACGGGUAGCCGGGCUGGGCGGGGGACCGGCCCUAUUAGGACUGAACUACGGCCCAGACUCGUACGGGAGGCAGCAGUGGGGAAGAGUGCACAAGAGGCGGAAGCCUGAUGUAGCACCGCCGCGUGCGGGAUGACGGCCUUCGGGUAGUAUUCCGCUUUCGCCUGUGACGAAGCGUGAGUGACGGUAAUGGGUAAAGAAGCACCGGCUAACUACGUG